rnacentral:lncRNA from 1 species
CACCCAUCCAGACCCCUUGGAAGCCCAUCCCCAACCUCCCUGGGCUGGCAAGUGGAGAGUGAAGACUUGGAAGCAGCCAGCACAGGGCCACAUGAUCCUUGACCCCUGCUGUGGACCACUACAGCACAGGCACAAGGCGAUGGCCAGCAUCUGACUUCAUGGGCAGCCCCAGGCAGCUCUGGGGUGUGGGCGGUCAGCAGUGCUGACUUAUUAGUCAGCGUAAGUCAGCGCUGAGAGAUGCUACACCCUCUGACAGGGCAUGCAUUCAUUAA